UACGAAGGGGGCUAGCGUUGCUCGGAAUUACUGGGCGUAAAGCGCACGUAGGCGGCUUUCUAAAUCGGGGGUGAAAUCCUGGAGCUCAACUCCAGAACUGCCUUCGAUACUGGAGAGCUUGAGUCCGGGAGAGGUGAGUGGAACUGCGAGUGUAGAGGUGAAAUUCGUAGAUAUUCGCAAGAACACCAGUGGCGAAGGCGGCUCACUGGCCCGGUACUGACGCUGAGGUGCGAAAGCGUGGGGAGCAAACAGG
rnacentral:rRNA from 1 species